rnacentral:lncRNA from 1 species
UUUCCAUUCACUUUUGGAGGAAGGGAGCCCCGGAGAAGAUAUUCCCAUAGUGGAGAGACUGGAAGAUGAAGUGAAGGGUGCCAUUUGUUCACCAUCCAAGUAACUUGACUUCCAGAUCCACAGGCACUCACUCCAUGAGAUCAUUCUGUGAUGAUGCCCUGCACUACAAUUAAGAUUAGUGCUGCCCUCAACAUUAGCUGGAGAAACCUCUCUAUACAGUUGCCCAGUGGUCAAUUAAGAGAUUUCUAAUUCGUCAAAGAGCUGAGGGUGAGAACAGUGCUCAACUCUAAAUGGGACAGCUAUAUCUACCCUACCUGAAGCUCGGGAAACACUGAAAAGGUCUCCCUUUGGAGGGAAGACUCAUCUUAAAUGUGCACACCACCAUCCCAAGGACCAGGGGCUCAUAUUACAUGGAAGAAGGACCCAUGCUGAGCUUCAGCCUUCAUUCCUUUAAGCUUCCCGGCCAUGAACACAAUGUGACUUAUGCUCUGGCUGACAUGACUUUUUGACCACGGUGCACCCUUGAGCUGUGACCCAAAAUAAACCCUUUCUCCCUUAAGUUGCUUUUGUCAGAAUUCUUCUGCAGCAACGGAAGUAACCGAGGUCAAAGGCAUAAGUAGUAUUAGCAUUUGCUUUACACUGUUUUGUUUAGAUUAAGGCUAUAUCUCAGUUAGCAGAACAUUUGUGCAAGAAUCACAAGAGAAGCCUAGAGUUUCCUCUCUAGUCUUGGAGGUGGGGAGCAACCAAAAGGGUGACACUUCACUCUUACUUCAUUUUUCCCAAGAAUGCCUUUUUUGUAUCUUUAAAGAAAAUUCUUUCUUUAUAAAGAUAUCUUUCUUGACACCUCCUAGAAGUCCACUGGUGUAUAUAAAGAAAAUAGCUUCAAAGCCCACAUUAUGCAUCAGAGUAUGGGUUAAAAGUGUUUUAAAGACUCACAUUUAUAGAUCCUUUUUAACCAAAGUAAAAAAUUCAACCAAAUGGUUCAUCUAAGAGUUUUAUCCUUGUUUUGUGAAUUUUGAAAAAGGAAUAAAAAUGUGUAUUUGCUGCAAUAUAGAUUCACUCUACAAAUUUUCACUCUAAAAAAAUUACAUGUUUUAUGAAUUUUCUUCUAUUUCUUUCUUUUCUUUUGAGAAAAGGUCU